GUCUUCUGUUUAAUUGUUUUACUAAUGUGCACUUUACAAAGGAUCACACUAAUCGUUUUCUGGAAAAUAAAUGACCUUUAGAUGUCUUCUGUUUAAUUUUACUAAUGUGCACUUUACAAAGGAUCACACUAAUUGUUUUCUGGAAAAUAAAUGACCUUUAGAUGUCUUCUGUUUAAUUGUUUUACUAAUGUGCACUUUACAAAGGAUCACACUAAUCGUUUUCUGGAAAAUAAAUGACCUUUAGAUGUCUUCU
rnacentral:lncRNA from 1 species